rnacentral:pre_miRNA from 1 species
AGUACAACUAUCGUCUAUGAACAGUCGAAACCUUCUUGUUCAUUGCGAUUGGUUGGACUAG